AGCGAACGCUGGCGGCAUGCCUAACACAUGCAAGUCGAACGAUGCUUUCGGGCAUAGUGGCGCACGGGUGCGUAACGCGUGGGAAUCUGCCCUUGGGUUCGGAAUAACAGUGAGAAAUUGCUGCUAAUACCGGAUGAUGUCUUCGGACCAAAGAUUUAUCGCCCAGGGAUGAGCCCGCGUAGGAUUAGCUAGUUGGUGGGGUAAUGGCCUACCAAGGCGACGAUCCUUAGCUGGUCUGAGAGGAUGAUCAGCCACACUGGGACUGAGACACGGCCCAGACUCCUACGGGAGGCAGCAGUGGGGAAUAUUGGACAAUGGGCGCAAGCCUGAUCCAGCAAUGCCGCGUGAGUGAUGAAGGCCUUAGGGUUGUAAAGCUCUUUUACCCGGGAUGAUAAUGACAGUACCGGGAGAAUAAGCUCCGGCUAACUCCGUG
rnacentral:rRNA from 1 species